rnacentral:misc_RNA from 1 species
GGUCCUUUCGGAUUAGGUGUUAUACUU